GUUCAUCAUAGUGUAGUGGUUAUCACGUUCGCCUCACACGCGAAAGGCCCCCGGUUCGAACCCGGGCGAAAACA
rnacentral:tRNA from 1 species